rfam:Exidia glandulosa HHB12029 unplaced genomic scaffold EXIGLscaffold_152, whole genome shotgun sequence.
GCCCGCGUAACUCAAUCGGUAGAGUGCCAGACUUUUAAUCUGGAGGCUGCGAGUUCGAGCCUCGCCGUGGGCU